GACGAACCGUGCGAACGUUGUUCGGAAUCACUGGGCUUAAAGGGCGCGUAGGCGGGCUGCCAAGUCUGGGGUGAAAUCCCGCGGCUCAACCGUGGAACUGCCUCAGAUACUGGCGGCCUCGAGGGGGAUAGGGGCGAGCGGAACUAAUGGUGGAGCGGUGAAAUGCGUUGAUAUCAUUAGGAACUCCGGUGGCGAAGGCGGCUCGCUGGGUCUCUUCUGACGCUGAUGCGCGAAAGCUAGGGGAGCAAACGGG
rnacentral:rRNA from 1 species